rfam:Erinaceus europaeus cont1.425008, whole genome shotgun sequence.
GGGGGCUGGCAGCUUCAGCAGCCUCGGGGCAGGCAGGUGGUGCGCAUCAGCCAUUUUUAGCUCAGGUGGAGUUAAGUUUGGAAUGUGUAACCUGGAGUUG